AGCAUAUCAAUAAGCGGAGGAAAAGAAACCAACAGGGAUUGCCCUAGUAACGGCGAGUGAAGCGGCAACAGCUCAAAUUGAAAGCUGGCUCCGGCCCGCAUUGUAAUUUGCAGAGGAUGCUUUUGGCGAGGUGCCUUCCGAGUUCCCUGGAACGGGACGCCAUAGAGGGUGAGAGCCCCGUAUGGAUGGACACCAAACCUGUGUAAAGCUCCUUCAACGAGUCGAGUAGUUUGGGAAUGCUGCUCUAAAUGGGAGGUAAAUCUCUUCUAAAGCUAAAUACCGGCCAGAGACCGAUAGCGCACAAGUAGAGUGAUCGAAAGAUGAAAAGCACCUUGAAAAGGGGGUUAAACAGUACGUGAAAUUGUUGAAAGGGAAGCAUUUAUGACCAGACUUGCGCCGGGCAGCUCAUCAGGGGUUCUCCCCUGUGCACUCUGCCCGGCUCAGGCCAGCAUCGGUUCUCGUGGGAGGAUAAGAACAGUGGGAACGUGGCCCCCCUCCGGGGGGGUGUUAUAGCCCAUUGUACGAUACUCUCGUGGGGACCGAGGUUCGCGCUCCGCAAGGAUGCUGGCGUAAUGGUCAUCAAUGACCCGUCUUGAAACACGGACCAAGGAGUCGUCCAUUAGAGCGAGCGUUUGGGUGUAAAACCCGCACGCGUAAUGAAAGUGAACGCAGGUGAGAGCUUCGGCGCAUCAUCGACCGAUCCUGAUGUCUUCGGAUGGAUUUGAGUAAGAGUUUUAACGGACGGACCCGAAAGACAGUGAACUAUGCUUGUAUAGGGUGAAGCCAGAGGAAACUCUGGUGGAGGCUCGCAGCGGUUCUGACGUGCAAAUCGAUCGUCAAAUAUGAGCAUGGGGGCGAAAGACUAAUCG
rnacentral:rRNA from 1 species